UACGGGGGGGGGCAAGCGUUGUUCGGAAUUACUGGGCGUAAAGGGCUCGUAGGUGGCCAACUAAGUCGGACGUGAAAAUCCCCUCAGCUUAACUGGGGAACUGCGUCCGAUACUGGAUGGCUCGAGUUUGGGAGAGGGAUGCGGAAUUCCUGGUGUAGAGGUGAAUUCGUAGAUAUCAGGAGGAACACCGGUGGCGAAGGCGGCUACCUGGACCGGUACUGACACUGAGACACGAAGCGUGGAGCAACAGG
rnacentral:rRNA from 1 species